rnacentral:rRNA from 1 species
AGUGAACGCUGGCGGUAGGCCUAACACAUGCAAGUCGAACGGCAGCACAGUAAGAGCUUGUUCUUACGGGUGGCGAGUGGCGGAUGGGUGAGGAAUACAUCGGAAUCUACUUUUUCGUGGGGGAUAACGUAGGGAAACUUACGCUAAUACUGCAUACGACCUACGGGUGAAAGCAGGGGAUCUUCGGACCUUGCGCGAUUGAAUGAGCCGAUGUCGGAUUAGCUAGUUGGCGGGGUAAAGGCCCACCAAGGCGACGAUCCGUAGCUGGUCUGAGAGGAUGAUCAGCCACACUGGAACUGAGACACGGUCCAGACUCCUACGGGAGGCAGCAGUGGGGAAUAUUGGACAAUGGGCGCAAGCCUGAUCCAGCCAUACCGCGUGGGUGAAGAAGGCCUUCGGGUUGUAAAGCCCUUUUGUUGGGAAAGAAAAGCAGCAGGUUAAUACCCCGCUGUUCUGACGUUACCCAAAGAAUAAGCACCGGCUAACUUCGUG